rnacentral:rRNA from 1 species
UACGGGGGGGGCAAGCGUUGUUCGGAAUUACUGGGCGUAAAGGGCUCGUAGGUGGCCAACUAAGUCGGACGUGAAAUCCCUCAGCUUAACCGGGGAACUGCGUCCGAUACUGGAUGGCUUGAGUUUGGGAGAGGGAUGCGGAAUUCCAGGUGUAGCGGUGAAAUGCGUAGAUAUCUGGAGGAACACCGGUGGCGAAGGCGGCAUCCUGGACCAACACUGACGCUGAGGAGCGAAAGCCAGGGGAGCAAACGGG